rnacentral:lncRNA from 1 species
UGCAGCAAUGAUGGUGGUGCCGCUUGGCCAUGCCAUGGUCCCCCAUUAAGAAUCACUCCAGUAGCACCUCACCAGCAGCCAAUCACUCAGCACCUUCAUCUUCAUCUUCUCUAACAUUUUUUUAUAAUGUUUUUCAUUAGAGAAAAUACAUAAAAGCAUUUCAUUUGAACAGGAAAAAUAGAAAACCGAGAAGUGAGCGAUACAUGAACAGACACCUGUCGAUGUAAAAACCCUCUCUAUAAUAUUCAUAACACAAACCUUCCCCUGUAAAUGAGUUCUGCUGCCACGCUCUCUCAAUGUUCUUCUCUUCCUUAGUCUUUCCGCCGCCGUUAGGUUUUUCCUCCCAUCUUCCUCUGCACCACACCAUACCCCAAAGCUGCUUAAUUAAGACAUGAAUUGCUGAAAAACCAUCACCAUGAUGACACCUAUUGUUUCCUCUCAUCAACCCUCUUUUUUUUCCCAAUAAAUGUUUCACCCUCGCUCUCAAAUCUCCCU